rnacentral:rRNA from 1 species
UACGUAGGGGGCAAGCGUUGUCCGGAAUCAUUGGGCGUAAAGAGCGUGUAGGCGGCCCGAUAAGUCCGCUGUGAAAGUCCAGGGCUCAACCCUGGGAUGCCGGUGGAUACUGUCGGGCUCGAGUCCGGAAGAGGAGUGUGGAAUUCCUGGUGUAGCGGUGAAAUGCGCAGAUAUCAGGAGGAACACCGGUGGCGAAGGCGGGUCUCUGGGCCGAUACUGACGCUGAGACGCGAAAGCGUGGGGAGCAAACAGG